GCGUUCGGCCUUAUACUCCGAGGAGUCGUCCUUCGCCUUCGGAGGAAGAGGAAGAGGCGAUCAGGGUUUUGUAGUCAUGGCCGCCUCUGGUUCGCUUGGUGCAGGUCGGGAACGCUUCGAUCCGGCGGCGGGACGAGCCGGAUCCCGCCUUGCACCAACUGAAUCGGAGGCGGAGACGCGACCAUCUCGACCUCCCGCCAGCCCGUCCCGUUUCUUGCAUCCCAAGCAUGCAGAUCUCAUCAGAAUGCUUCGGUUGGAGGAAGGAGCAGCGAUCAGUGACAAAAGCAGGGGCUGCAAUCGCUAAGGAGGAUCAACCACUCGUUAUCACCAAGGAGAUGUUGCUGCCAUCCUUUGCAUUGGAUCGAUCCAUAAGGUUAGACGGUAUAGUCACAAUGUCUUUGUAUGGUCUUAUAAAACACUGGUGUAUUUAUAUGGUCUUAUAAAACAAUGGUGUCUUUCUAUGGGCUUACAAAAUACUAGUAACUGACAAUAAAGUCUAAGCUUCUUUUU